UAGAGAGAGACAUGCGCGCAUAUCAAUAAGCGGAGGAAAAGAAACUAACAAGGAUUCCCCUAGUAACGGCGAGUGAAGCGGGAAGAGCUCAAAUUUGAAAUCUUAAAGGGUUUCCCUUUACGAAUUGUAGUUUAAAGAAGUGUUUUCUGUUGAGGUUUUGGUAAAAGUUCUUUGGAAUAGGACAUCAUAGAGGGUGAGAAUCCCGUAUUUGACCUUUACUUUCAACUUUGUGAUACACUUUCAAAGAGUCGGAUUGUUUGGGAAUGCAGUCCAAAAUGGGUGGUAAAUUUCAUCUAAAGCUAAAUAUUGGCGAGAGACCGAUAGCGAACAAGUACCGUGAGGGAAAGAUGAAAAGAACUUUGAAAAGAGAGUUAAACAGUACGUGAAAUUGUCAAAAGGGAAGCGUUUGACACCAGUGUUGUUUUUCUGAAAAUCAAUUAAAGAACUGUUUAUGCUAAGCUGUUUAGACUUUAUCAGCUAUCUGUUUAGUUUUGAGCUUUUCUUUAAUGCACUUUUCAGUUAACAAGUCAACAUCAAUUUCUUUUGCUGUAAAAAAGCUUGAGGAAGGUGGCUUGAGAUUCGUCUUAAGUGUUUAUAGCCUCUUGCCUAUGCAGUCGGAGAGAUUGAGGUCUGCAGCGUAGAUCCUUCGGGGCUAAAUGCAUUUGUGCUAAGUUAUAGCAUUUUAUAGACAACUUGUUGACUAUGAUUUGUCUUGUAGCUUACUCGCUUAUGUUAUUUUACCUACGCUUAGGAUGUUGACGCAUGAGAUAUACGC
rnacentral:rRNA from 1 species